UUAGGACUUUUGGGUUGUGGAAUGGGGAAAGACAUAUGUGGAACAGGAAAAUGAGAUAAGAGAUGGUCCAAAAUGUUUGGAGUCCCCUUAAGUACUGGAGCAAAAUGAAAAGAAAACCAGUACUGCCACAUCUACCUCCAUAACACAUCAGCUCAUAGAUUUUCAGUGGAAGCUGGGUAUGGCUGUGAGCUCAGACAGCUGCAGGUCACUUAAGUAUCCUUAUGUUGCAGUGAUACUCAAAGUGGCAGAUCCUUCAGGCCAAGUAAAGAACAAGUCCUUCGAAAUGACAAUUCCACAGUUUCAGAAUUUCUACAGACAGUUCAAGGAAAUUGCUGCAGUUAUUGAAACUGUGUGAAAACUGAUUACUUGGUUGAUGAAUUGCUACUAUCAUUCUAAAAUCAUGGACUUUACUUUCUGCAACAAAACUGCCUAAGGAUCAAAUGAUAUUUAUUGAAUGAAAAUUACACUUUUGGUUUUCCAUUUUUUUAAACAAUAAAAAAGAAAAUCAGACAAACAGGAAUUACAAAGUGGUGAUUGCUGCACACUUUGUGAAUGUACUAAGAGCCACUGAAUUGGAAACUUUAAAGGGUGAAGAACUCUGUGCUCUCUCCCGUGUUGACUGCUGGAAACGAAGAGAUCUGAGAUAGGGAAACCAUAAGAUGGAGCCCCUGAAUCACGAUUGGAGGCAAACUCAUAGUAACAGCCUGACUUGCACCAGACAGUGAUGUGAGCUAGAAACAAACUCUUGUUUUGGUAAGCUGGUGAGAUUUUUAGAGUGUUUGUUACAACAGCAAGUGAGCAUAAACUUGAAUAACACAAGAUAUUUGUAUGAAGAUUUUUAUUGUAGCAUUUCCCCAAGUGGUGAAAAGUAAAAUAAAGGGAGCAGUGACUGUCAAUAAAGAAAUGGUUGAAUAAAUUCAUCAUAUCUAUGUUACAGCAUAUCAUAUACCUGCCAUUAUCAAUAUGUAUUAACAAUACAUUUGCUGUUAUCAACACAUAUUGUUGUUUCAUAAAACUGUAAAAUGCACUCAAUAUAUAUUUGAAUUCUUCAUGGAAAAUUAGGAAAAUUAAGGAGAGAUGUUUACCAUGCUGUAAGCAUUGAUGGAGAGGGUAUCUGGAGAGGGAGAGGAAGAGCAGUUAAAAAAAUUUUUUUUAAUCCAUAAUGCAUUAUAAAAAAAUAUGUAUCAUUGUUUUUAAGAAAUAAUUGAUAAAAAUGUUUGCUUUUUAAUUAUGCUUCUGAAAAGUUCUUACAGUUCUUUUUGUGGUACAAUGUAUCCUUAUUUUAACAAAUGGUAUAGUGUGUCUCCAAAUCAGAAUAGACAAACCUGAAAUACAUCAAACGUAGGCCCCCUCGCUGUGCUAUAGAAAUCACGACCGCAGCUGGGUCUGAUAUUUUGGCUGGUAUCACUGCAAGAAACUUCAUUUCUUCCGCUUACCUUUGUUUCCUCUUCUGAGCCUCCCUGUUGGGAAUUUAAGUCCUCUUCACACCCUGUCAGCAUUUCUGCAAUCUCCUACGUGAAUCCACUUUCUUGGUCCUCUGCUCAGUAGCAUACUGUUGUGAGGAGCCCGGGUCCACUGCCUACUGCUGUCUACCCAUGUACUCAGGUCCCACCAGCUUGAAGAGUCAGCCGACUGGGCAUUCAUCCUUACCAGCUGCCCAUAGACUACUCUAUUACCCACCCUCUGCAUAGUAGCACAUUAAAGAUUUAGGACUAGGAGAAGGCAAAGUCCCCUUUCUAUCCCUUUCUCAAAUCCUUUGGGGUACCAACUUCAUUGUAUCCCCAGAAAUCAAAGUAGAAACCUGCCCACCCAAUCUGGGUCAAAACCGCACACUUGCCUUCCCAGACUGUGCUUAUGGUCUUUCCAUCUCCCACUCACCCCAGUUUAACACCCUCCAUUUUCCUCCCCCUCCUCAUUUGCAGUGUUGCAGAGAGGCCCAAAGAAAGCCCUUGGCUCAAACACUGGGUGAUGGAUUUGAUUAGAAUAAAUUUAAAUUGCAUGUUUAAAUUUAUCUUUUGAAUUUGAAAGGCAAGUUUUUUUCAUAAUAUAGUUUUACACUAUUUUCACUGAGGAUGUCUAUUUUGCUUAUUAUGAGUUUAAUGAGCUUCACCUGGCUGACCUGGGCAUUAACCACUGUUUGUAACAUUUCUGUGGGAAAAUGUGUUUCAAGUUUCAAACACUUGAAUUAAAUGUAAACUUUUGGAAAAUA